AAAUAGUACUUUGCAGAGAGAGUUAACAGGGCGUGAACCGUUAAUUGGCAAACGAAUCGGAGCCACGAAGUCGUUUCGUUGAGUUGGAUUAGGUUCAGUCUAGGACGAAAGUCUUGGGUGUAUUCCUAGUUUAACCAUUGUAAGCGUACACUGCAACCAGUUAGACGAUUGGUGAUGGGCCCAGUUAAUUGAGGAUGCUUGCAUUCACCUUUAACGAAGGACUUGUUUAUCCAGGUUAGUAGUAGCGUUGUAUACUUUCGGGUGUAUUUAUGUUGCUGGGCUUGUGAUAAGUGAACUAUCUACCAAAUACUGACUGGCAAAAUGAAAAUCGCCUCUUUUGUGCGUUAUAUAAAAUGCAGCAGUUAGUAUAGAUGUUUACAUGCACAACCAUAGGGUUUUAAGCUCAGCAUUUUUGAAUUUAGACUUGCAUUCUACCAGUGGGGCAACUCCUGGUGUUUGUAUAGUUUCUAUCUAAUCGGGUGUUGACUUGAUUUUAUGUUGUUUGGGUAUGCUACGAUAGAAUGUUUAUACAAAAUUGUUUGUAAUUUAAUUGGCAGUGAGUAGGUCGGCUUUCCGAACGACCCGUCUUGAAACACGGACCAAGGAGUCUAAUUAGGCAUCAGUCGAUCAGUCUUGAUAGGCUAGACUGUUGGGAUUUAUCUCCUAACGAUUGAAGGCGUAGAGAAAUCAAAUCAUGUGAUCAUAUUGGGCAACAACAGCCCUUAUGCGCAACAUGUGCCUGUUCGUAUAGUAAUGUUAGCAAUAACUUACUGGGCGGAGCAAAGAGAUGCUUGAUUGGUACCCGAAAGAUGGUGAACUAUGCUUGGGCAAAUUGAAGCCAGAGGAAACUCUGGUGGAGGAUUGUAGCGAUUCUGACGUGCAAAUCGAUCGUCAGACCUGAGUAUAGGGGCGAAAGACUAAUCGAACCAUC
rnacentral:rRNA from 1 species